AUUGAACGCUGGCGGCAUGCCCUACACAUGCAAGUCGAACGGUAACGGGCCUUCGGGUGCCGACGAGUGGCGAACGGGUGAGUAAUGUAUCGGAACGUACCUUUCAGUGGGGGAUAACGUAGCGAAAGUUACGCUAAUACCGCAUAUUCUGCGCGCAGGAAAGCAGGGGAUCGCAAGACCUUGCGACGAUUGCGCGGCCGAUAUCAGAUUAGCUAGUUGGUGAGGUAAAGGCUCACAAAGGCGACGAUCUGUAGCGGGUCUGAGAGGAUGAUCCGCCACACUGGAACUGAGACACGGUCCAGACUCCUACGGGAGGCAGCAGUGGGGAAUUUUGGACAAUGGGGGCAACCCUGAUCCAGCCAUGCCGCGUGAGUGAAGAAGGCCUUCGGGUUGUAAAGCUCUUUCGGCCGGGAAGAAAUCGUAUCAGCUAAUACCUGGUGCGGAUGACGGUACCGGCAUAAGAAGCACCGGCUAACUACGUGCCAGCCGCCGCAGUAACAC
rnacentral:rRNA from 1 species